AGGUGUUACACUCAGAAAGAGAGUGAACAACUAGAAGAUGUGGAAGAAAAUUCCAAGGGCCAAUUUUGAAACAAACCAGGCAGAGAGACCCAGAUGCAGAAUCCUGCAGGCUGAGGGAUGUCAGGAAGAGUUAGCCCACCACUGCUGCGCUGAAACCAGGAUGAUGCAAACUGGGCCUCAGGCCAGUAGAUCAAUAAACCAAACUCCCUGUCACCUCAGACUCUGCACCUGUUAAAGCCCUGUAAAGAGCCGACAUGUAAGGACUUAUACUGACUGGAUACAGAGAAUAUGGAGCAAAUCAAAUGUAUUUAAAUAGUAAAUUAUCAUAUUGUUAUAAAUAAAAAUUUACAUUGCAUUUCCUUUUA
rnacentral:lncRNA from 1 species